GCGGUGAAAGUCUGUGGCUCAACCAUAGAAUUGCCAUUGAUACUGUUGUUCUUGAGUGUUUAUGAAGUGGUUAGAAUAUGUAGUGUAGCGGUGAAAUGCUUAGAUAUUACAUGGAAUACCGAUUGCGAAGGCAGAUCACUAAUAAAAUACUGACGCUGAUGGACGAAAGCGUAGGUAGCGAACAGGAUUAGAUACCCUGGUAGUCUACGCCGUAAACGAUGGUUACUAGCUGUUCGGAAGUAAUUCUGAGUGGCUAAGCGAAAGUGAUAAGUAACCCACCUGGGGAGUACGUUCGCAAGAAUGAAACUCAAAGGAAUUGACGGGGGCCCGCACAAGCGGUGGAGCAUGUGGUUUAAUUCGAUGAUACGCGAGGAACCUUACCAGGGCUUAAAUGUAGCUUGACCGAUUUGGAAACAGAUCUUUCGCAAGACAAGUUACAAGGUGCUGCAUGGUUGUCGUCAGCUCGUGCCGUGAGGUGUCAGGUUAAGUCCUAUAACGAGCGCAACCCCUGUUGUUAGUUGCCAGCGAGUAAUGUCGGGAACUCUAACAAGACUGCCGGUGCAAACCGUGAGGAAGGUGGGGAUGACGUCAAAUCAUCACGGCCCUUACGUCCUGGGCCACACACGUGCUACAAUGGUAGGGACAGAGAGCAGCCACUGGGUGACCAGGAGCGAAUCUACAAACCCUAUCUCAGUUCGGAUCGGAGUCU
rnacentral:rRNA from 1 species